rnacentral:rRNA from 1 species
AGAGCGAACGCUGGCGGCAGGCCUAACACAUGCAAGUCGAGCGCCCGUAGCAAUACGGGAGCGGCAGACGGGAUAGUAACACGUGGGAACGCGCCCUUCGGUUCGGAAUAACUCAGGGAAACUUGAGCUAAUACCGGAUACGCCCUUACGGGGAAAGAUUUAUUGCCGAAGGAACGGCCCGCGUCCGAUUAGCUAGUUGGUGAGGUAAUGGCUCACCAAGGCGACGAUCGGUAGCUGGUCUGAGAGGAUGACCAGCAUCACUGGGACUGAGACACGGCCCAGACUCCUACGGGAGGCAGCAGUGGGGAAUAUUGGACAAUGGGCGCAAGCCUGAUCCAGCCAUGCCGCGUGGAUGAUGAAGGCCUUAGGGUUGUAAAGUCCGUUUUAACGGGGAAGAUAAUGGACGGUACCCGUAGAAUAAGCCCCGGCUAACUUCGCGCCAGCAGCCGC